rnacentral:rRNA from 1 species
GUUGUAUGGUUAAGUGACUAAGCGUACACGGUGGAUGCCUUGGCAGUCAGAGGCGAUGAAGGACGUAUUAACUUGCGAUAAGCGUAGAUUAGGCAGUAAAAGCCACUUGAGUCUACGAUUUCCGAAUGGGGAAACCCACUAGCAUAAGCUAGUAUCGCUGCGUGAAUACAUAGCGCAGCGAGGCGAACUCGGGGAACUGAAACAUCUAAGUACCCGAAGGAAAAGAAAUCAACUGAGAUUCCGAAAGUAGCGGCGAGCGAAAUUGGACUAGCCCUUAAGCUUUAAAAGAUGCAGGGGAACACGCUGGAAAGCGUGGCAAUAAAGGGUGAUAGCCCCGUAACCGACACAUCAUUCUAAGUGAAAACGAGUAAGGCGGGACACGUGAUAUCCUGUUUGAAUAUGGGGGGACCAUCCUCCAAGGCUAAAUACUACUGACUGACCGAUAGUGAACCAGUACCGUGAGGGAAAGGCGAAAAGAACCCCUGUGAGGGGAGUGAAAUAGAACCUGAAACCGUGUACGUACAAGCAGUAGGAGCAAGGCAAUGCCUUGUGACUGCGUACCUUUUGUAUAAUGGGUCAGCGACUUAUAUUCAGUGGCAAGGUUAACCGUAUAGGGGAGCCGUAGGGAAACCGAGUCUUAACUGGGCGCUU